GUGGGGAAUUUUGGACAAUGGGCGCAAGCCUGAUCCAGCCAUUCCGCGUGCAGGAUGAAGGCCUUCGGGUUGUAAACUGCUUUUGUACGGAACGAAAAGGUUCUCUCUAAUACAGGGGGCUGAUGACGGUACCGUAAGAAUAAGCACCGGCUAACUACGUGCCAGCAGCCGCGGUAAUACGUAGGGUGCAAGCGUUAAUCGGAAUUACUGGGCGUAAAGCGUGCGCAGGCGGUGAUGUAAGACAGAUGUGAAAUCCCCGGGCUCAACCUGGGAACUGCAUUUGUGACUGCAUUGCUGGAGUGCGGCAGAGGGGGAUGGAAUUCCGCGUGUAGCAGUGAAAUGCGUAGAUAUGCGGAGGAACACCGAUGGCGAAGGCAAUCCCCUGGGCCUGCACUGACGCUCAUGCACGAAAGCGUGGGGAGCAAACAGGAUUAGAUACCCGGGUAGUCC
rnacentral:rRNA from 1 species